UACGGAGGGUGCGAGCGUUGUCCGGAAUCAUUGGGCGUAAAGGGCGCGUAGGUGGCGGGACAAGCGUGCGGUGAAAGCCUGGGCUCAACCCCGGGUCGGCCGUGCGAACUGUUUGCUUGAGCACUGUAGAGGCAGGCGGAAUUCCGGGUGUAGCGGUGGAAUGCGUAGAGAUCCGGAAGAACACCGGUGGCGAAGGCGGCCUGCUGGGCAGUUGCUGACACUGAGGCGCGACAGCGU
rnacentral:rRNA from 1 species